rnacentral:rRNA from 1 species
GUGGGGAAUCUUCCGCAAUGGACGAAAGUCUGACGGAGCAACGCCGCGUGAGUGAUGAAGGUCUUCGGAUUGUAAAGCUCUGUUAAUCGGGACGAAAGAGCCUAGUGUGAAUAAUGCUAGGAAGUGACGGUACCGGAAUAGAAAGCCACGGCUAACUACGUGCCAGCAGCCGCGGUAAUACGUAGGUGGCAAGCGUUGUCCGGAAUUAUUGGGCGUAUAGCGCGCGCAGGCGGAUCUGCCAGUCUGUCUUAAAAGUUCGGGGCUUAACACCGUGAUGGGAUGGAAACGACCGAUCUAGAGUAGCGGAGAGGAGAGUGGAAUUCCUAGUGUAGCGGUUAAAUGCGUAGAUAUUAGGAAGAACACCAGUGGCGAAGGCGACUUUCUGGACGAAAACUGACGCUGAGGCGCGAAAGCCAGGGGAGAGAACGGGAUUAGAUACCCGAGUAGUCC